GAUGAACGCUAGCGGCAGGCUUAAUACAUGCAAGUCGAGGGGCAGCACGAAUAGCAAUAUUUGGUGGCGACCGGCAAACGGGUGCGGAACACGUACAGAACCUUCCUUUAAGUGGGGAAUAGCCCAGAGAAAUUUGGAUUAAUACCCCGUAACAUUAUGAAGUGGCAUCACCUUAUAAUUAUAGAUUUAUCGCUUAGAGAUGGCUGUGCGGCUGAUUAGAUAGNGGUGAGGUAACGGCUCACCAAGUCUGCGAUCAGUAACUGGUGUGAGAGCACGACCAGUCACACGGGCACUGAGACACGGGCCCACUCCUACGGGAGGCAGCAGUAAGGAAUAUUGGUCAAUGGACGCAAGUCUGAACCAGCCAUGCCGCGU
rnacentral:rRNA from 1 species